rnacentral:rRNA from 1 species
GAAAUCACAAGAUCCACUACGCGUGGUGAAUGUAAUAACGUAAGGGAAAAAAUUGAUAUUACCUUACUAUUAGUGUUGUCCAAAACUGGUGCCAGAAGACUCGGUAAGGCCAGAGACGCAAACGUUAGUCGUCUUAAUCAGGCGUAAAGGGUAUGUAGGCUGCUUUAAAAGUUUUAUAUUUAAUAGCUAAUAUAAACAAAGUUUCAAUUUUGUUAUAGAAAAAUAUAAAAUGAAUUAAAGCUAGAAUCAAAUUGAGGAUAAUAAAUAACACCUAGUGUAGGGUUUAAAUCUGAUGAUAUUAGGUGGAGUACUAACGGUGAAAGCUUUUUAUCUAGAAAUGAUUGACGCUGAGAAACGAAGGUGAGAAUAGGAAAUAGGAUUAGAUACCCAGAUACCUCUCACAGUCAACGAUGAAUGGUGGUUGUUACUUAGUUUUAUUUAAGUGAUAACGAUGUUAACACGAUAACCAUUCCGCCUUGCGAGUACGGUUGCAAAACUGAAACCAAAAAAAUUAGUCGGUCU